rnacentral:rRNA from 1 species
CCUACGGGAGGCAGCAGUAGGGAAUCUUCCACAAUGGACGAAAGUCUGAUGGAGCAACGCCGCGUGAGUGAAGACGGGUUUCGGCUCGUAAAGCUGUGUUGGUAGUGAAGAAAGAUAGAGGUAGUGACUGGCCUUGAUUUGACGGUAAUUACUUAGAAAGUCACGGCUAACUACGUGCGAGCAGCCGCGGUAAUACGUAGGUGGCAAGCGUGGUCCGGUUUUAUUGGGAGUAAAGGGAGUGCGGGCGGUGCUAUAAGUCUGAUGUGAAAGCCUUCGGCUUAACCGGAGAAUUGCAUCAGAAACUGUUGAACUUGAGUGCAGAAGAGGAGAGUGGAACUCCAGGUGUAGCGGUGGAAUGCGUAGAUAUAUGGAAGAACACCAGUGGCGAAGGCGGCUCACUGGUCUGCAACUGACGCUGAGGCUCGAAAGCAUGGGUAGCUAACAGGAUUAGAUACCCCAGGAGUC